GAUGAACGCUAGCGGGAGGCUUAACACAUGCAAGUCGUGGGGCAGCACGGUGUAGCAAUACACUGGUGGCGACCGGCGCACGGGUGAGUAACGCGUAUGCAACCUGCCCUGUACAGGGGGAUAGCCCGGAGAAAUUCGGAUUAAUACCCCAUAAAGAUAUCGAGAGGCAUCUUUUGAUAUUUAAAGCUUCGGCGGUACGGGAUGGGCACGCGUGACAUUAGCUAGUUGGUAGGGUAACGGCCUACCAAGGCUUCGAUGUCUAGGGGUACUGAGAGGGUGAUCCCCCACAAUGGUACUGAGACACGGACCAGAUUCCUUCGGGAGGCAGCAGUGAGGAAUAUUGGUCAAUGGGCGACAGCCUGAACCAGCCAUCCCGCGUGAAGGAAGAAGGCGCUAUGCGUUGUAAACUUCUUUCCCAGAGGAAUAAAAUUUCGUACGUGUACGGAACUGAAGGUACCCUGGGAAUAAGCAUCGGCUAACUCCGUGCCAGCAGCCGCCGUAACAC
rnacentral:rRNA from 1 species